GAUGAACGCUCGCGGCAGGCCUAAUACAUGCAAGUCGAACGAGAUUAAGAGGCUUGCUUCUUAUGAAAGUGGCGCACGGGUGCGUAACGCGUAUGCAACCUACCUUAAUCAGGGGGAUAGCCCGAAGAAAUUCGGAUUAAGACCGCAUAAAAACACAGGAUAGCAUUAUCCAAUGUUCAAAUAUUUAUAGGAUUAAGAUGGGCAUGCGUGUCAUUAGCUAGUUGGCGGGGUAACGGCCCACCAAGGCGACGAUGACUAGGGGAUCUGAGAGGAUGACCCCCCACACUGGUACUGAGACACGGACCAGACUCCUACGGGAGGCAGCAGUAAGGAAUAUGGGUCAAUGGAGGGAACUCUGAACCAGCCAUGCCGCGUGCAGGAAGACAGCCCUCUGGGUCGUAAACUGCUUUUAUUCGGGAAUAAACCUUUCUACGUGUAGGAAGCUGAAUGUACCGAAGGAAUAAGAAUCGGCUAACUCCGUG
rnacentral:rRNA from 1 species